rnacentral:rRNA from 1 species
CAGUAGGGAAUCUUCCACAAUGGGCGAAAGCCUGAUGGAGCAACGCCGCGUGCAGGAUGAAUGCCUUCGGGUUGUAAACUGCUUUUAUAUGUGAAGAUUUUGACGGUAACAUAUGAAUAAGGAUCGGCUAAUUCCGUGCCAGCAGCCGCGGUCAUACGGAAGAUCCAAGCGUUAUCCGGAAUUACUGGGCGUAAAGAGUUGCGUAGGUGGCAUAGUAAGCAGAUAGUGAAAUGAUGUGGCUCAACCAUAUGUCCAUUAUCUGAACUGCUAAGCUAGAGUAUAUGAGAGGUAGCUGGAAUUCCUAGUGUAGGAGUGAAAUCCGUAGAUAUUAGGAGGAACACCGAUGGCGUAGGCAGGCUACUGGCAUAUUACUGACACUAAGGCACGAAAGCGUGGGGAGCGAACGGGAUUAGA